GAUGAACGCUGACAGAAUGCUUAACACAUGCAAGUCGAUGGGGAAGUGGUGCUUGCACCCUGGUAACCAUGGCGGACGGGUGAGUAACGCGUAAGGAACUUGCCUGCGGGACUGGGAUAACAGCAGGAAACUGCUGAUAAUACCGGAUAAGGUCAUUAAGCUGCAUAGCUUAGUGAUGAAAGGAGACGCCUGCGGAGAGCCUUGCGUCCUAUUAGCUAGUUGGAGGGGUAACGGCCCACCAAGGCGAAGAUAGGUAGCCGGCCUGAGAGGGUGGACGGCCACAAGGGGACUGAGAUACGGCCCUUACUCCUACGGGAGGCAGCAGUGGGGAAUAUUGGACAAUGGGGGCAACACUGAUCCAGGAAUUCUGUGUGCACGAAGACGGUUUUCGGAGUGUAAAGUGCUUUCAGCAGGGAAGAAGGAAGUGACGGUACCUGCAGAAGAAGCGACGGCUAAAUACGUG
rnacentral:rRNA from 1 species